rnacentral:rRNA from 1 species
UUUUAUGAGAGUUUGAUCCUGGCUCAGGACGAACGCUGGCGGCGUGCCUAAUACAUGCAAGUCGUACGCUUCUUUUUCCACCGGAGCUUGCUCCACCGGAAAAAGAAGAGUGGCGAACGGGUGAGUAACACGUGGGUAACCUGCCCAUCAGAAGGGGAUAACACUUGGAAACAGGUGCUAAUACCGUAUAACAAUCGAAACCGCAUGGUUUUGAUUUGAAAGGCGCUUUCGGGUGUCGCUGAUGGAUGGACCCGCGGUGCAUUAGCUAGUUGGUGAGGUAACGGCUCACCAAGGCCACGAUGCAUAGCCGACCUGAGAGGGUGAUCGGCCACAUUGGGACUGAGACACGGCCCAAACUCCUACGGGAGGCAGCAGUAGGGAAUCUUCGGCAAUGGACGAAAGUCUGACCGAGCAACGCCGCGUGAGUGAAGAAGGUUUUCGGAUCGUAAAACUCUGUUGUUAGAGAAGAACAAGGAUGAGAGUAACUGUUCAUCCCUUGACGGUAUCUAACCAGAAAGCCACGGCUAACUACGUGCCAGCAGCCGCGGUAAUACGUAGGUGGCAAGCGUUGUCCGGAUUUAUUGGGCGUAAAGCGAGCGCAGGCGGUUUCUUAAGUCUGAUGUGAAAGCCCCCGGCUCAACCGGGGAGGGUCAUUGGAAACUGGGAGACUUGAGUGCAGAAGAGGAGAGUGGAAUUCCAUGUGUAGCGGUGAAAUGCGUAGAUAUAUGGAGGAACACCAGUGGCGAAGGCGGCUCUCUGGUCUGUAACUGACGCUGAGGCUCGAAAGCGUGGGGAGCAAACAGGAUUAGAUACCCUGGUAGUCCACGCCGUAAACGAUGAGUGCUAAGUGUUGGAGGGUUUCCGCCCUUCAGUGCUGCAGCUAACGCAUUAAGCACUCCGCCUGGGGAGUACGACCGCAAGGUUGAAACUCAAAGGAAUUGACGGGGGCCCGCACAAGCGGUGGAGCAUGUGGUUUAAUUCGAAGCAACGCGAAGAACCUUACCAGGUCUUGACAUCCUUUGACCACUCUAGAGAUAGAGCUUCCCCUUCGGGGGCAAAGUGACAGGUGGUGCAUGGUUGUCGUCAGCUCGUGUCGUGAGAUGUUGGGUUAAGUCCCGCAACGAGCGCAACCCUUAUUGUUAGUUGCCAUCAUUCAGUUGGGCACUCUAGCAAGACUGCCGGUGACAAACCGGAGGAAGGUGGGGAUGACGUCAAAUCAUCAUGCCCCUUAUGACCUGGGCUACACACGUGCUACAAUGGGAAGUACAACGAGUCGCGAAGUCGCGAGGCUAAGCUAAUCUCUUAAAGCUUCUCUCAGUUCGGAUUGCAGGCUGCAACUCGCCUGCAUGAAGCCGGAAUCGCUAGUAAUCGCGGAUCAGCACGCCGCGGUGAAUACGUUCCCGGGCCUUGUACACACCGCCCGUCACACCACGAGAGUUUGUAACACCCGAAGUCGGUGAGGUAACCUUUUUGGAGCCAGCCGCCUAAGGUGGGAUAGAUGAUUGGGGUGAAGUCGUAACAAGGUAGCCGUAUCGGAAGGUGCGGCUGGAUCACCUCCUUUCUAAGGAAUAUUACGGA